rnacentral:tRNA from 1 species
GGAGAGGUGGAUGAGUGGUUGAAGUCGCACGCCUGGAACGCGUGUGUGCGUUAAUAGCGUACCGUGGGUUCGAAUCCCACCCUCUCCGCCA